UACGUAGGGAGCAAGCGUUGUUCGGAAUCAUUGGGCGUAAAGGGCUCGUAGGCGGUUUGUCGCGUCGGGAGUGAAAACACGGGGCUUAACCCCGUGCCUGCUUCCGAUACGGGCAGACUAGAGGUAUGCAGGGGAGAACGGAAUUCCUGGUGUAGCGGUGAAAUGCGCAGAUAUCAGGAGGAACACCGGUGGCGAAGGCGGUUCUCUGGGCAUUACCUGACGCUGAGGAGCGAAAGUGUGGGGAGCGAACAGG
rnacentral:rRNA from 1 species